rnacentral:rRNA from 1 species
CUACGGGGGGCAGCAGUCGAGAAUAGUCUACAAUGGACGAAAGUCUGAUAGUGCGACGCCGCGUGGAUGAAGAAGCAUUUCGGUGUGUAAAGUCCUUUUCUGUGUGAGCAAUGUUUUCCAGGUUAAUAGCUUGGAGAAAGCGAUAUUAACACAGGAAUAAGCUCCGGCUAACUCCGUGCCAGCAGCCGCGGUAACACGGGGGGAGCAAGCGUUGUCCGGAAUUACUAGGCGUAAAGGGUAAGUAGGCGGAAUUGUAAGUCAGAUGUUAAAGGCACCGGCUCAACCGGUGUAUGGCAUUUGAUACUGUAAUUCUAGAGUAAGGUGGGGGAAGACGGAAUUCCUGGUGUAGCGGUGGAAUGCGCAGAUAUCAGGAGGAACACCAGAGGCGCAGGCGGUCUUCUAUACCAUUACUGACGCUCAAUUACGAAGGUGUGGGUAUCAAACAGGAUUAGAUACCCUAGUAGUC